rnacentral:rRNA from 1 species
UACAGAGGGGGCAAGCGUUGUUCGGAAUUACUGGGCGUAAAGGGCGCGUAGGCGGCCGCCUAAGUCAGACGUGAAAUCCCUCGGCUCAACCGGGGAACUGCGUCUGAUACUGGGUGGCUUGAAUCCGGGAGAGGGAUGCGGGAAUUCCAGGUGUAGCGGUGAAAUGCGUAGAUAUCUGGAGGAACACCGGUGGCGAAGGCGGCAUCCUGGACCGGCAUUGACGCUGAGGCGCGAAAGCCAGGGGAGCAAAGCGGG